UUAGAGGAAGUAAAAGUCGUAACAAGGUUUCCGUAGGUGAACCUGCGGAAGGAUCAUUAUCGUACAACCGAGGUGCAUGGGCUGUCGCUGACCUCCAACGGUUGUGCACGCCCAAGCGCUCUCACACAUCCAUCUCACCUUUGUGCAUCACCGCGUGGGUCCCCUUUGCAGGAGGGCUUGCGUUUUCACAUAAAACUUGAUACAGUGUAGAAUGUUUUAUUUGCGGUCACACGCAAUCAAUACAACUUUCAACAACGGAUCUCUUGGCUCUCGCAUCGAUGAAGAACGCAGCGAAAUGCGAUACGUAAUGUGAAUUGCAGAAUUCAGUGAAUCAUCGAAUCUUUGAACGCACCUUGCGCCCCUUGGCAUUCCGAGGGGCACACCCGUUUGAGUGUCGUGAAAUCAUCAAAACCUUUCUCUUUGACCCUCUUUGGUCGGGAAAAGGAUUUUUGGACUUGGAGGUUCCAUGCUCACCUUCACUUUUGAAAGCGAGCUCCUCUCAAAUGAAUUAGUGGGGUCCGCUUUGCUGGUCCUUGACGUGAUAAGAUGUUUCUACGUUUUGGAUUUAGCACUGUCCCUUGGAUGCCUGCUCCUAACCGUCUCACGGACAAUGAUGGUGCUCUGGUCACUGCCAUCUACAUUGGCGGGAGGCUGGACCCACAAAAGAAAACCUUGACCUCAAAUCGGGUGAGACUACCCGCUGAACUUAAGCAUAUCAAUAAGCGGAGGAAAAGAAACUAACAAGGAUUCCCCUAGUAACUGCGAGUGAAGCGGGAAAAGCUCAAAUUUAAAAUCUGGUGGUCUUUGGCCGUCCGAGUUGUAAUUUAGAGAAGCGUCUUCCGCGCUGGACCGUGCACAAGUCUCCUGGAAUGGAGCGUCAUAGA
rnacentral:rRNA from 1 species